AAGCUAUAUGGAUUUGGAUCAUCCACCAGGUCCAAGAAAUUGCCAUCGGCAAAUACGAAAAAACACAGCUAACUGCAAUGUUUUAGAGAGGUAUAUCACUAUCAUUUGGUAGCUACAGAUCCAAGCAAUCAUAUAUAUCAAAAUUCAAGAUAUCCAUGUGGACAAAAAAAUUGUUUUUGGUGCUCUCCCUCUUCCAUCUCCUCUGUUGAGCUUCACAUGCAGCAGCAUCGGCCAUGUGUUUGCUUUUCUGUCGUCUAUACUCUCCUCUCUGAUGUAUGGAUGUAUACGUCUGGAAAUAUAUAAUCCGAUGAUGGUCAUGGGAGGCUUGCUUCAGCUUCAGCCUAGGAAGUCCAGAAACCAAGGCACGCACUGGCACUAUUCCUCCUCAAGAUGUCAUCUAAGUAUAAAUAUCAUCCACCAAAGUAUUUAUCCAUGUGCAGAAUCAACUCAGAAACAGGCAGAAUUAAACACCACAACCCAAUGUGCAAAAUCAACUUAGUUAAAUCAAUGACCAAAGGAAAAUAUGUAAUCCCCGACACAACACCUGUAGUUCCAAACAAACAAGCAUAAUUAAACACCACACAACCCAAAAUCUCAGCCAUCACAUGUGAGAUGCUUACAUCGAUCUGCUUCUGCAGAUAACGCGAUAACUUCUUGGGCUGUCGUGGUGGAUGCGUGUAGCCAAUGGCGAGAAACUCCUCAACGGUGGGACGAAGAAGUCCCUCUUCCCCCAACGGCAGUGCAGGCAAGCGUUUGCCCAACGCCAUCUGAUCUCAAUGCGGGAGGAGCCACAAUGGCGGUGUGGCGGUGUGGUCCUCUAGGGCCGCCGUAGCCGUGCAAGUUUGUGGGCUUCUCCUUCUUCGACGACGGGGAGGAGGCUUCCACUAAGGCGGGGAUGCGGCGGUCAGAGGCGGCGCCCAUGAGGGCCAUGUAGGAGGUUCAAGAGGAUAAGAGAAGGGAAUGGGGAAGAGAUGGACGAGGGACGGGGCGGAUGGGACAGGGGCAGGACUUCCCUGCGUGACCGGAUGGGGAGAUCGUGGGUGUGUGCUAGGGGAUCGAGGCGGUUGGGCGAAGACAUGGCGUGGGACGCGGCCGCUUUUCUUUUUCAGUUUCCGACGGAGGAAGUGCU
rnacentral:lncRNA from 1 species